rnacentral:rRNA from 1 species
GACGAACGCUGGCGGCGUGCUUAACACAUGCAAGUCGAACGGAAAGGCCCUGCUUUUGUGGGGUGCUCGAGUGGCGAACGGGUGAGUAACACGUGAGUAACCUGCCCUUGACUUUGGGAUAACUUCAGGAAACUGGGGCUAAUACCGGAUAGGAGCUCCUGCUGCAUGGUGGGGGUUGGAAAGUUUCGGCGGUUGGGGAUGGACUCGCGGCUUAUCAGCUUGUUGGUGGGGUAGUGGCUUACCAAGGCUUUGACGGGUAGCCGGCCUGAGGGGGUGACCGGCCACAUUGGGACUGAGAUACGGCCCAGACUCCUACGGGAGGCAGCAGUGGGGAAUAUUGCACAAUGGGCGGAAGCCUGAUGCAGCAACGCCGCGUGCGGGAUGACGGCCUUCGGGUAGUAAACCGCUUUCGCCUGUGACGAAGCGUGAGUGACGGUAAUGGGUAAAGAAGCACCGGCUAACUACGUG